rnacentral:rRNA from 1 species
UACGUAGGGUGCAGGCGUUAAUCGGAAUUACUGGGCGUAAAGCGUGCGCAGGCGGCGCGUUAAGACAGGUGUGAAAGCCCCGAGCUUAACUUGGGAAUUGCGCUUGUGACUGGCGUGCUGGAGUGUGGCAGAGGGAGGUGGAAUUCCACGUGUAGCAGUGAAAUGCGCAGAUAUCAGGAGGAACACCAAUGGCGAAGGCAGCUCACUGGGACGGUAUUGACGCUGAGACGCGAAAGCGUGGGGAGCAAACAGG